rnacentral:rRNA from 1 species
ACAACAUUUCGAAAGGAAUGCUAAUACCGCAUACGUCCUACGGGAGAAAGCAGGGGAUCUUCGGACCUUGCGCUAAUAGAUGAGCCUAAGUCGGAUUAGCUAGUUGGUGGGGUAAAGGCCUACCAAGGCGACGAUCUGUAGCGGGUCUGAGAGGAUGAUCCGCCACACUGGGACUGAGACACGGCCCAGACUCCUACGGGAGGCAGCAGUGGGGAAUAUUGGACAAUGGGCGGAAGCCUGAUCCAGCCAUGCCGCGUGUGUGAAGAAGGCCUUAUGGUUGUAAAGCACUUUAAGCGAGGAGGAGGCUACUUUAGUUAAUACCUAGAGAUAGUGGACGUUACUCGCAGAAUAAGCACCGGCUAACUCUGUGCCAGCAGCCGCGGUAAUACAGAGGGUGCAAGCGUUAAUCGGAUUUACUGGGCGUAAAGCGCGCGUAGGCGGCUAAUUAAGUCAAAUGUGAAAUCCCCGAGCUUAACUUGGGAAUUGCAUUCGAUACUGGUUAGCUAGAGUGUGGGAGAGGAUGGUAGAAUUCCAGGUGUAGCGGUGAAAUGCGUAGAGAUCUGGAGGAAUACCGAUGGCGAAGGCAGCCAUCUGGCCUAACACUGACGCUG